ensembl:lncRNA
GUAAUUAAAAAAAAAAACAACAAAAAACAAAAAAGUGGAUGUAUACUAAGCCAAUGACAUGAUGUGAGAGUGGUUAUUGUUUGCCUUCUGGUCAUCAGAAUAAAACCAGUGUAACUUCUGCACCUUGUGCUUUGCUCAAUAAAUGUGCUGCUCUGCUUGUGCCCAGCUGGGCUUCUGAUUGCCAGCAGUGCAGAUAGCAGGUGCUUCCUGACCUUGGUGUCUGGGAGGAGGCUUGGUUGCUGUGGUUUAGAAGACUCUCAUAAAGUCUUUGUUAUAUCCAAAGCUCCUGGUGAGGAUAUGAAGGAAUUCAGGAUGACAGUUUCAGUGUCUUAUCCAAACAGACGUGUAUUGGAAAAGGACUAGAGAAAUGGUGACAGCAGAUUCAGGCUACCUGAGGAGAAAAAGAAUGCAGUGAAACUUAAAUACAACUUUUCCAUAGUGCUGACCAACGCUACAGUGCUCAGAAAGGAAAUCUCUCUUGGCAAAAUUUCCGACUUCCAUAAGCAUGCCUCCAUUAGAGAGCAGAGGGUGAUUCUUGCCAUGCACACUGGCACAGGUGCAAACAAUUUACAUGUGCCUCCCACCUGACUGGAAGGAGUGGACCCUGGGUCUACCCCUCCUCCUGGGCUCAUUUAAGGGAUAGCCUCCAAAAGGAGAUCAUCUGGAGACUAUCAUCACCAGCUGGGUGAGGCAACGUUUUUUCUUGUAUAUGAAUGUCGGUAUUCCCAAUGAUACUUUGCCUGGUAUCGUAAGGAACUUUUCAGAAGCAGUUUUGCUGCUUGGUGGGACAAACAUGCUAUCUUUAUUUUUAGCUUUUCUUAUCUGGGCAUAUAAAUACAUUCCCCUUAUAUACAUAUAUAUUCUCCUUGUAGAAAGUCAGUUCUAUAAAAACUUAUAAGUAAACUCUAUUGGUGAAGGCAGGGGUUGGGGGAAUGGAUGAAGAGAAACAAGACAAAAUAAUCCCGAAGCUGAAAAUAAAGGUUUUGAAUGUGAGACACAGCAAGAAUGCUUAUCUGUGGGUUCAAAUGCUUUUGUGGGAACAGCAAGUGAGCUCUAAUGAAGUCCAUGGAUUGAAAAUUGAUCACCUCACCGGUGACUUUUUUCUUUUACUUGAUCACUGAAAUGGAAGAUAAUAUUAGCUGAUUUUAAGCCUCCUGAUGGAGAGCUAAUCAAAUUGGGCCUAUAAUGAAAUAAGUCUUUGAAAGAAAAUGAUAAUCAAAGCCUUCAGUAGUCAUAAUUGCUGAGGAAUGGAGUAAAAGGCUAUUCAAGUAAUACCCCAGCUGUAGGCAUUAUGAACUGUUUAGCCAAAUCUGAGGUUGGUUAUUCCCAAUUUUCUCCUUAUAUUUAGAUCUGUUGAAGAGCUGUGCUAAUUUAAGACACUUUUGAAGAAAAGCAUACCAGAUUUUCAAUACACUCAAAUACGUGUGUACAUUCAGGUGAAGUUAUCACCUGAAGGGGGUUAGUGGUAGAGAACUGUGUAAGAAGUAGAAAGUUGGAGUAUUGGUUAUCAAGGAAGAAAAGGCCUUGGCCAAACCUUUCCUAGCUGUACAGCAGUAUCUGCUGUUGCUUUGGGGUUGGGAUGGUAAUAAGGGAUGAGAUGUACUGAGGUGCUGGAAGCAGGGAUGAGACCUGUGCGUGGGAGUCCAGGACUGAACAUCACAGGUGGAUGUUUUCUUCCUCUCUGCUUGAGUUAAGUGCCUGGGCAAAGUGAGAACUAUUGGAAAUAGACACAAAACUAUUGCUUAUGUCUAAUUUGUAGAAAUCUGAAGUCCUUUAUAGAAAUUGGAAGGAUUAAACCCAUUAUUUGCUACUUUAUAUGAAAAGUUCCUCUGUAAAAGCAAAAUAAUUCCCUUUCUAGGAGGUUCUGCUGGGAUAAUGCCUAACUUGCAUUGCUGCCCAUUCCAGCGGGUGUGAGGAAGCAGAUGGUACCAUGGUGUGAUGUAUUGCUUCUGUCACACCAUGCAUUCAGAGUUUCAGAUGAUGUAGAAGUGACCUGUAGACAGCCAGUUGCAUUGCUGCAGUUUUGUUUAAGUAAUGUGGUACUGUAUAGAGCAAUUGUUGAUCAGUAGAAUAAUCUAAUUGAACUUAAAGGCAUUUACAAAAAAAUAAGUGCCAUUAGGCUUGUCUUCUGAAGUACCUACAUGCAAGAUUUUCCUCAAGGAAGAUGAUUCAUUCUGUUGAGGAAUGCAUGCUUCUCAUGAACUUAAAUUCCAUUUCAGCAUCAGAAAUUUAUUGAAUGAGAUUAUGAUGGGAAGCCAUAAGGUAAAGCCCACUGAUUAGAGGAUAAAAGAAAAGAGGACAGUGUCUGACAGAAAAAAAAUGAAUAUUUUAAAAAGAAAUAUGUGGUAUAAAGGGAAAGAAAAAUGAACAGCCUUCCAUAAGAAUGGGAAAUAAUCUCUAUUUAUUUCAAGAACUAAAUUUAUUCUUCUUUAAAUUGUAUGGGAUGGUCUACCAAACAAAUUAUUUGGUAACAACACCCCAUUAUGAAAGCAUCAUAACUCUUUGCAGAAGUAAUAGCUUUUAUCAUUAUCAUUGAUUCAGGAAAUUGGAACAAAUAUCUUUGCAUAUUAGCACAUUAUGUAGAUGGAUUUGGAAAUGGCUCAAAGUUAUUUACUAUUUCAUGCCCAAAAUGAUAUUGUUCUGUCUGCUCAAAAAAGGAAUUUAAUUUAUCCUUGAUGGCUGAGAAGCAGGCAGCAAAUACAGUGUUAUUUUCAGAGCUCAGAACAAAUCAGCUGAAGUCAUGAGGCUGAAUAAAUGAAGAAGUUUUGCCUGUGUGCAUAAUCUAUAGCAUAUGUCUGUAGCAGAUUAAUGUACAUACAUAAGUAGGUGCAUAUACAUACCUAAAGUCAGAAGGUUCAGGACAUCCCCAGGGAAAGGGAUCUGGGUGAUCAGAAGAGUUAUUUAAAAAUAGGCUUUCCUAGCUGUCAUCUGUUUACAGGAAGAAAAUGUUUGCACUUCCUUUUGUGAAAUCUAGUUUAUUGCUUCUCCUAUUCAGGUUAUCCACAAAUUUGUUUUUAAGUUUUUAUAUUACAGUACUGACUUAGGCCUAAGUUCUACCAUUCAGGUGUACAUUGUGAGUCACUAAAUACCUUCUGCAUCUCUAUUGAAAGUAACAAUGAAGCUUUUGGGAGAGGGCAGCAGGCUGUCUUUAAAUACUGUGAAGCUGUGCUUUGAAUGUUUUUCUAGGCUGCAGUGUCAUGUGCGCAUACAUCUGUGUGUUUGCCUAAAUGAGCAGUUGAGCAUUCUGUAUUCCAUUCUGUAUGGUAAAAAAAAAUAAAAAAUAAAAAAAUAUUUCACUGCUACUGCAGGAUAUAGAUAUAGAUAAAUUUUCUCAUGGCAUACACAGUUCUUCAGAGUGAUUUGAAAGACCAGAAGUCAAACUAAAAUACACCUGUGAUUCCAUUCAAGGUACAUAUAAAUUUUACCACAGCUAAUUUUGAGAUGAAAAGUGAGAUGAAAAAGUGCAGAAGAUAAGACAGCUUAAGUAUAAAGAGGGCGAGGCCAUGGCUGUGAUUUUGGAAUCCUUCAGUCAAGUAGAUAAAGUGGCACUUCCCUUGAUGUGCUUACAGCUUAUGAGUGAAACUUAACAAUCACCAUGAAUUUCCACAUCCAGUGGGACCACUGUUUGUGUAGUGACAGAAAGAUGGUGCAAAAUUGGGAUAACUGAUAGUUGCUAUGCUGCUUAGAAUGACAGAAGCCACUUUCCUGGAUAGAAAUGAGUGCUG